rnacentral:rRNA from 1 species
UGCAAGUCAACUGAAUUUGAGGUAGCAAUAUCUCAAGUAAGGUGGCGCACGGGUGAGUAACACGUAGGUAAUCUGCCUUUAGGACUGACAUAACCUAUCGAAAGGUAGGCUAAUUUCAGAUGAUGCAGCGGCUCGACAUCGAGACAGUUGUUAAACCUUCGGGGCCUAAAGAUGAGCCUGCGUCUGAUUAGGUAGUUGGCGGAGUAAAAGCCCACCAAGCCUGCGAUCAGUAGCUGGUCUGAGAGGAUGAUCAGCCACACUGGAACUGAGACACGGUCCAGACUCCUACGGGAGGCAGCAGUAAGGAAUAUUGCUCAAUGGCCGAAAGGCUGAAGCAGCAACGCCGCGUGGAGGAUGAAAUACUUUUGUAUGUAAACUCCUGUAAGAGGGGAAAAAUAUCUCAUUAUUUGAGAUUGAUUGUACCCUCAGAGUAAGCACCGGCUAACUACGUGCCAGCAGCCGCGGUAAUACGUAGGGUGCUAGAGUUGUCCGGAUUUACUGGGUGUAAAGGGUGCUCAGGUGGAUUUGUAAGUCAGAGGUGAAAUCCCAAAGCUUAACUUUGGUGCUGCCUUUGAUACUGCAAGUCUGGAGUUUGAGAGAGGGCAAUGGAAUAUCUGGUGUAGCAGUGAAAUGCGUAGAUAUCAGAUAGAACACCAAUGGCGAAGGCAGUUGCCUGGCUCAAAACUGACGCUAAAGCACGAAAGUGUGGGGAGCAAACAGGAUUAGAUACCCUGGUAGUCCACACCCUAAACGAUGAAUACUAGAUGUUGGUCCUUUUUAGGAUCAGUAUCCAAGCUAACGCAUUAAGUAUUCCACCUGGGG